GUUGAACAAUGUCUGUCUUUCCAGCUCACUUAACUGGAGCCUGUCAAGAGAACAAGAUGUUCUGUUGCUGUUGCCCUACUUUCAGUGAUUCUGGGUUUAGAGAGUCUAGACAGAGAUGUUCAUGUCGCUAAGGACGUCAGCUCGGCCCUCUUCGCCAAAGCUUCUGGUUAUGUGCCGGAGACCUCAACAGGGCACUGUAUUUGCAGAGCUGCACCCAGGAGAACUUGGAGGAGAUGUUUUGUGGCUUCAACUCUUCUAACUCCCUAGACAAUGAUAGGGUGCACCAGGCAAACAAGGAGCAGUGCUGUUCUGAGUUGGAUGAUUACGGGUGACUCCAUGGAAUACUGGUCUUCCUAAAAGAUAUGAGUUGAGAGAAAUGAGGGUGUUGCUCAGCUACUGGAAUGUGUUGAAGUUGCCAAUGCUCUGCCCUGCGUCCCAACCAACCAAUGGUAUUUUGAAGCCUAGAACCUUUUUCUGUGUGGGCCCUGAAGUCCUUUGUCCUGCAAAACUUCCCGAGGUGAUGCGUGUCUCUGGGCUGAGCGCCAGUCCCUGUUCUUCCCAGUGGCCCGUGGUUUGGAAGCUGACUACAGUGCCCCUCCUUGUGUCUCUGGUGUGGAAAGGAAUCAUCCACCCUGACCCCGGGUGAGGCCUGGAUCAGGCAGACGCUCCGGGAAGGCAGAAUGGAUACUUUUGUACAGUCCUGCUGCGAUCCUUCCAAGAGAGGAGCCUCUCAGAAUAUGCAGUCGUUUUCUGUGUCUACCAGGUGUUCAGCACAGCCCAAAGGGUCCUGGGCCAGCAGCUCCACAGCCACACAGAGAGAGACAGAGAGGCAGAGACACAGGCAGAGGGAGAAGCAGGCUCCAUGCAGGGAGCCCGACGUGGGAUUCGAUCCCGGGUCUCCAGGAUCGCGCCCCGGGCCAAAGGCAGGCGCCAAACCGCUGUGCCACCCAGGGAUCCCUGCACUCAUUUUCAAUCAAGGAGGCAAGUGUCCACAUUUAUCUUUCUUUUGUGAAGAUUUAUAUUUCUUAUUCGAGUUUUGAGAGAGAUGGUUUUUCCUGGUUCAGGCUCAAUAUAUCUACAAGCAACACAAAUUAUCCACUGUGUAUGAACACUGAACUGCUUUGUUACUUAAUUGUAUAAAGUCCAGAAAAAUCCAAAACAUGGGCCGACACUUCCACUUACCUAUGAUGAUCUGUUUCAGAAUUUGUUCACUCUUUUUACCUUUGUAGACAUUGUAGAUUUUACUUACUUUUCCACCAGUUCAACCACUCAUCCUUUCAUUUUCUUUUAAAAUUUGUUUCAGAACUUUUAGAAUUCUUUUACCAGGAAGAUCUUUGAAGGAUCUGAGUGCCAUCUAUUAGGAAAUGAAGGCUCUUCUUUAUGUUCUCAAGGCUUGAUUUUUAUUACUGUUUUUUUUGUUUUGUUUUGUUUUGUUUUUUACUAUAACUGUAUAUAUUGCCAUUUAUUUUACUGGACAAUAUAUUAAAUUUCUGUGGAUACUGUAACAAAUUAUGACAAAAUAAAUGGCCAAAACAAAUGAAAACUAAUUCUUUCACAAUUUUGGAAUCCUAAAAUCUGAAAUCAGUUUCACUGGGCCAAAAUCAAAGUGCUGGCAGAGCUAGGCCUCCUCCAGAGGCACUAGGGGAGGCUCCAUUCCUUACCUCGACCUACUUCUGGAGGCUGCUGGCUUUCUUUGAUUUGUGGUCUCAUUACCCAAUCUCUGCCUCUCUGUUUACAUUGACUUCUCUUCUGUCUGUGUGAAAUAUCUCUCUCUCUUUUAAUA